AUUCAAUCAAAACCCUCCCCUCACAAUCCCUCCGGUCCAUAUAAACAAUCUCUCUCGCUCUCUCGCUCUCUCGCUCUCUCUCUCUCUCUCUCUGAUCUUCGUCUAAAAUUCACAACUCUCUCUCUCUCUCUCUCUAGAACUCGCAUUCUUGCUGUGAUCCGAAUCCAUGGAAGAUCAAACGGCGGAAAUGUUCCCCCAGAACUGCAAAGACCACAUUCCAGAUCACGACUCCAAGCCCUCUUCGACCUCUGAAGCAGGUUGUUUCUUGCCCUUGUGCACUGGGUCUUGCCACACCUACAGCAAUCCUAGUUGGGACUUCGCUCGGAGCAAGGCAAGGGCUCCUUGUGAGAGGAGCAGAUGUGCUUGAACGCUUAGCCGUCGUAGAUUAGAUUGCUUUAGAUAAGAAGGAAAACCCACAGUUUCUGGUAUUGCAUCUUUCAACUAUGAAGAAUCCGAAAUUCUUCAGAUUGCUGCUGCAGUGGCAGACGUCGGGAUUGCCCUUCAGCUUCAAAUGCUGCAUCUAUUAUACUUCUCGGACACAAACUAUCACAAGUAAUUCUACGAUCUCGUAAACAAGGCUUACUAGCUUCUCCACAUUUUUAUACUUAAACCACGGAACCUGUUGGACAGUGACUUGACGGCAAAGGUGGGUAAUUUCUGCAAUUCUUGGCUUUUUUAAUCUUUAAUUUGUUAAUAAAAAUUGGGAACUUUUUCAAUUGAACUGUUACAUUGUGAAUUUCAAUUGAGUUGUUCUGUCAAGGGAGAUUCAUAGUUGAUUGGUGAGAGUAUCAUGUCGAACGGAACUCAAGAAGAUUCUCCAUGUCAGAUGGUCCUUCCAGUUUUUCAGAGCAUACUGCCUUGCCUUGUCUGAUGAAGCCAAGCUCGCAAUGAAUCCCUUUCCGGACCCUGCAGUUCUAAACACCAUUCAGCUGCUAAGUAUUGAACAUGAACUUUUAAACAAGAACAAUAGAGACUUUACAAUGAAGUAGUUGGUUCAUGGGGUGGGAGUGAUUUGAGUGGAGUGAGUCGGUCCACAUGCAGAAGCUUCAUCAGAAUUGUCCUGGUACCAUCAAACUGUCCGGACAGGAGCUAGCUGAUGUAAAGAAGGUGUUGAGGCAAGCUACGACCCUUAUUUGGAAAGUACGGUUUCUAGCCCCUAGUUUUUGAGUGCCAAAGACAAGCGAUGGAGAAGGUAAGCAAGAAAGAGGGACUAGCAACAAGAAAGGGAAAGCACUUAUGUUAGUUCUUGUAGACGACAUUUUGUUUCACAAGGGAGCUCAUAAACAUCGGUUGAGGCCAGCCCCUAGACCUAAGUCGCAAGAGGAUGUCCUUAAGAUUACUACCUCAAAAAAGGUUGAAGCUGAGGCCAUCAGGUGUGCUGCUGCCAUAGUUGCAGGGGAAAAAAGAUGAUUGUUGCCUCCUCUUCCUACCAUCAAUCUUGUAUUUCCUCCAACCAUGAAGUUCACUGACCAAGAAGGUGACCCUAGCUUCAGCCGUAAGAGGAAGUAUAAGGAAGAGAUUGGCAGCAUCCAUUGGAAUGGCUUGAAGGUUGCCAUGCAACCAAGUAGUUUUAGGUAUGUCAAUAAUUGUCUGGCAAGACGCCGAUCCAUUGUUGACGAACUUGGCGAGCCGCUAGAUGAGAACGAAUCAGAUCGUGAUCGAAUGAUGAGGCUAUCUUCUUAUAUCAUGACCGAGUAUGACGACAGACUAUAAGAGGUCAAGCAGUACAAGGCAAAGUUUAAAGAGAAUAAGUAGCUUGUGAAUGACGCCAAAAAAACGAGCCAAACUUUGGCUAAGGCCAUCCGCCUCAAGGAUCAAAACUUUGAGAGUUUGAAGAGGCGGAAUGGUGAGAACGUAAGGCUCAAGAAACAAUUGGAGGCGAUUGAGAAACAGUUUGAGAUAACUAUCAUAGAAGUUUCCAAGGUUAAAAGGGAGUUGGAUAGUGCCUUGGUUGAGGUUGCUGGGCUGAAGAGAAGUAUCCCAACUGAGAAGAACGCUGCUGUGUAGGAGUUCUUAGGUUCCCAAGCCUUUCAUGAUGCCUUUAGACCUCACCGCAUCCGGGCGGCUAAUUUUGAGAAAAAGGAAAUAGAUGGCCGUCCCUGAGCGUUAUGAUAAUGGAAGCAUUAUCCGAAAGUACCGUGACGAGAUGGAUGAAUAUCGACAAAGAGGUGAAGUCUUCAUCUUUGCAGUUGAUCCUAGUGGUGAGAAUGACUCUCAUAAUGAGGCUAGUGUCGGUGAGCAGUCCCAGGAAAGUAGUACCGGGAGAGUAGUCCCGGGAGAGUGAAGAUGGUUCUGGAGGUGCCGAAGAUGGUGGUGAUGACGAUGGGGUUGAAACACAAAGUGAUAUUGUCAGGGGUUUGGCUUAGAUAAGGAUGACUCAUAGUGCCCUCUUUUUCUGUAUGUACUCUGAAUGUACUAGUUUGUUGUUUGUGUGGCAUGUGCCACGUACUUUGGAUAUACUACUAGUUCGUUGUUUGUAUGGCAUGUGCCAUGUUAUAAGCCCGAGAGUUUUUUGUUUAUGGAUGCUUAUGACUUUGCCCUGUAUAAUCCGAUGUUAAUUGCCAAGUGUUUGCACUAUCAUUGAUAAAUAUUUGGCUAUGUUUGAAUAGAUCCCUCGUUUGGAUAUAAGCCAUGAC